CCACAUCACUUUCAAACACCGGUUACCGUAAGAUCACCGAAGUUAAGCAACGUUGAAUCUGGUCAGUUCCUAGAUGGGUGACCGCUUGGAUGUGCUGGUGGUGUA